GAUGAACGCUAGCUCCAGGCUUAACACAUGCAAGUCGAGGGACCGGCGCACGGGUGAGUCACACGUAUCCAACCUGCCCUUUCCUCGGGGAUAGCCUUUCGAAAGAACGAUUAAUACCCGAUGUAAAGGCUGGGGAUGCGUUCCAUUAGGUUGUUGGUGAGUUAAAGGCUCACCAAGCCUUCGAUGGCUAGGGGUUCUGCGAGGAAGGUCCCCCACAGUGGAACUGAGACACGGUCCAAACGCGUACGGGAGGAAGAAGGGAGGAAUAGUGGUCAAUGGGCGUUAGCCUGAACCAGCCAAGUAGCGUGAAGGAUGAAGGCUUAUGGGGCGUAAACUUCUUUUAGAUAAGAAAAUGGAUUAUAUGAAUAAGGAUCGGCUAACUCCGUGCCAGCAGCCGCGGUAAUAC
rnacentral:rRNA from 1 species